CCCCAGCGCCACAAGUGGUUAUCACGAUUAUUGGGCCUAAAGCGUUCGUAGCUUGGUUUGGUAAAUCUCUUGUGAAAUUGUUCGGCUUAACCGGACAGCGUGCAGGAGAGACUGCCAAACUCGAGACCGGGGAGGCGUAAUGAAGUAUUCCAUGGGGACUGGUAAAAUGGGAUAAUCCAAUGGGAAGACUACCGAUGGCGGAAGGCAUCGAUACGAGAACGGAUCUGAACAGUGAGGAACGGAAAGCCAGGGGAGCGAACCGG
rnacentral:rRNA from 1 species